rnacentral:lncRNA from 1 species
AAGAGUUGAAUCCACAAUUGAAAGAGUACAAGCUUAAAACAGAUACACACAUGUCACAACAAUUCCAAAACAAACAAAACCAGCAUAAAAAAGGGAAUAUCACAAUAGAAAAGCUGCAAUAAGUUUCACGCCGAAUGCAACGUUGUCGUUAACCACAAUUCAGCGAUACAUAGAAACGACAUCAAUCUUGCAUUGGAGCUAUUUCCAAGUGUGCAACUCUCUUUCAAAUCAUCUUCUCACUUACACCAAAACAAAAGCAUCUGUCAUACAACCUAGCAAACCACACAAAGGCAAAUAUUGGCAUAUGUUCCAUGACAUCAAAAAGAGAAGAAAAAUCUAAAAUCAAGACCUCACAGCAAGGGUGCUUGGAUUUGCAUGAGAGAUAAAGCAUAGAUUGGCACUGUUAAGAAUCCAUGUCCUUCAUGAGCAUCCAAAGUUGGUUCACCUUAAUAAUAGAGAAUUCAUAGUCAAUGCAAGUUGUAAUAAGUGGAACCAAACAAAUAACCACAAGGGAUGGCAAAACCGAGUGGUAAAAGUUUCGUUAGCAGUAAAAACAACCUUAAGAGAGCACAUGCUUUAGAGGGCGCUACAGACAAAGAAGAAUUACCUGUGACAAUCGCCCUGGUCCCCACCAAAUCUCUGAGAAAUCCAAUUCUAACGGAAUGAUUCCUUUCACCCCUGCCAGCUCAUGAUUCAAGGACCACCCAUUUUCACUCUAUAUAAGAGAC